CCUACGGGGGGCAGCAGUCGGGAAUAUUGCGCAAUGGAGGAAACUCUGACGCAGUGACGCCGCGUGCAGGAAGAAGGUUUUCGGAUUGUAAACUGCUUUAGACAGGGAAGAAACAAGACAGUACCUGUAGAAUAAGCUCCGGCUAACUACGUGCCAGCAGCCGCGGUAAUACGUAGGGAGCAAGCGUUAUCCGGAUUUAUUGGGUGUAAAGGGUGCGUAGACGGGAAAUUAAGUUAGUUGUGAAAUCCCUCGGCUUAACUGAGGAACUGCAACUAAAACUGAUUUUCUUGAGUGUUGGAGAGGAA
rnacentral:rRNA from 1 species